rnacentral:rRNA from 1 species
CUACACUCCUAUAACCCUAAAUGUGUCCAAUCCCAUCCGAUCUCUGAAGCUAAGCAGAGCCAGUUAUAGCUAGUACUUGGAUGGGAUAAACUAGCUUUGAGGUAGUGACGU